rnacentral:rRNA from 1 species
UGCGUAGGCGGCGCAGUAAGUUGGGUGUGAAAUCCCUCGGCUUAACCGAGGAAUUGCGCCCAAAACUACUGUGCUCGAGGGAGAUAGAGGUGAGCGGAACUUAGGGUGGAGCGGUGAAAUGCGUUGAUAUCCUAAGGAACACCGGUGGCGAAAGCGGCUCACUGGAUCUCUUCUGACGCUGAGGCACGAAAGCUAGGGUAGCAAACGGGAUUAGAUACCCCGGUAGUCCUAGCCGUAAACGAUGAGCACUGGAUCGAAGGGUCCUCCAUAGCCUUUCGGUCGCAGCGAAAGUGUUAAGUGCUCCGCCUGGGGAGUAUGGUCGCAAGGCUGAA